AACGAACGCUGGCGGCAUGCCUAACACAUGCAAGUCGAACGAGAUCUUCGGGCUUAGUGGCGCACGGGUGCGUAACGCGUGGGAAUCUGCCCUUGGGUUCGGAAUAACAGUUAGAAAUGACUGCUAAUACCGGAUGAUGUCUUCGGACCAAAGAUUUAUCGCCCAAGGAUGAGCCCGCGUAGGAUUAGGUAGUUGGUGGGGUAAUGGCCCACCAAGCCGACGAUCCUUAGCUGGUCUGAGAGGAUGAUCAGCCACACUGGGACUGAGACACGGCCCAGACUCCUACGGGAGGCAGCAGUGGGGAAUAUUGGACAAUGGGCGAAAGCCUGAUCCAGCAAUGCCGCGUGAGUGAUGAAGGCCUUAGGGUUGUAAAGCUCUUUUACCAGGGAUGAUAAUGACAGUACCUGGAGAAUAAGCUCCGGCUAACUCCGUGCCAGCAGCCGCGGUAA
rnacentral:rRNA from 1 species